AACAGGCCCCGGUGGCGCAUUUUCCCUCCAUCGGGCGGAGGAGCGGUCUAGGCGGGAGGGGUUGGGUUUGCGCUUCUCGCUACUAAAUUGAGGCGGGCUGAGGAGUGGCUGAGGCCGGUGAGGAAGCCGAGGAGGCCGCGACUAUAAGGCACUGCUUGGGAAACACAUUUUUAAAAUGGAAGAAAUAGACGAUUCAUCCAAGAGAAUUCUUUUAGAGCCGUACAACUACCUGCUUCAACUCCCUGGUAAGCAGGUCAGAACUAAACUUUCCCAAGCUUUUAAUCACUGGUUGAAUGUUCCAGAAGACAAACUACAGGUGAGUUGUAUAAGUUAAA